rnacentral:rRNA from 1 species
GACGAAUGCUGGCUGCGUGCUUAACACAUGCAAGUCGAACGGUGAACCAGGGCUUGCCCUGGGGAUCAGUGGCGAACGGGUGAGUAACACGUGGGCAACCUGCCCCUCACUCUGGGAUAACUCCGGGAAACCGGGGCUAAUACCGGAUACGACCUCAUGCGACAUCUCGUGAGGUGGAAAGAACUUCGGUGAGGGAUGGGCCCGCGGCCUAUCAGCUAGUUGGUGGGGUAACGGCCCACCAAGGCGACGACGGGUAGCCGGCCUGAGAGGGCGACCGGCCACACUGGGACUGAGACACGGCCCAGACUCCUACGGGAGGCAGCAGUGGGGAAUAUUGCGCAAUGGGCGAAAGCCUGACGCAGCGACGCAGCGUGAGGGAUGAAGGCCUUCGGGUUGUAAACCUCUUUCAGCGGGGACGAAGCGAAAGUGACGGUACCCGCAGAAGAAGCACCGGCUAACUACGUGCCAGCCGCCGCAGUAACAC